rnacentral:rRNA from 1 species
UACGUAGGGUGCGAGCGUUAAUCGGAAUUACUGGGCGUAAAGCGUGCGCAGGCGGUUCGUUGUGUCGGUGGUGAAAUCCCCGGGCUUAACCUGGGAAUGGCAUUUGGGACUGCAAGGCUGGAGUGCGGCAGAGGAGACUGGAAUUCCUGGUGUAGCGGUGAAAUGCGUAGAGAUCGGGAAGAACACCCGUGGCGAAGGCGACGUGCUGGGCUGCAUCUGACGCUGAGGUGCGAAAGUGUGGGGAGCAAACGGG